CCUACGGGAGGCUGCAGUGGGGAAUAUUGCACAAUGGGGGAAACCCUGAUGCAGCAACGCCGCGUGAGUGAGGAAGUAUUUCGGUAUUUAAAGCUCUUUCUGCAGGGAAGAGAAACGAAGGUACCUGAAAUAGAAGCCCCGGCUAACUACGUGCACGUAGCCGCGGUAAUACGUAGGGGGCAAGCUUUUUCCGGAUUUACUGGGUGUAAAGGGAGCGUAGACGGAAAGGGAAGUCAGAAGUGAAAACCCAAGGCUCAAACAUGGGACUGCUUUUGAAACUGUAAAACUAGAGUACGGGAGAGGUAAGAGGAAUGCCUAGUGUAGUGGUGAAAUGCGUAGAUAUUAGGAGGAACACCAGUGGCGAAGGCGGCUUACUGGACCGAAACUGACGUUGAGGCUCGAAAGCGUGGGGAGCGAACAGGAUUAGAUACCCUUGUAGUC
rnacentral:rRNA from 1 species